UCGAGAAUCUUCCACAAUGGACGAAAGUCUGAUGGAGCGAUGCCGCGUGAUUGAUGAAGCGCUUUGGCGUGUAAAGGUCUUUUAUGAGGGAAGAAGUUUAUUGACGGUACCUCAUGAAUAAGGGGCUCCUAACUCUGUGCCAGCAGGAGCGGUAAUACAGAGGCCCCGAGCGUUAUCCGGAAUUAUUGGGCGUAAAGGGUGCGUAGGUUGCGCUGUUAGUCAUUUGUGAAAGCCCCGGGCUUAACCUGGGAAACGCGAAUGAUACGGCAGUGCUUGAGUAUGUAAGGGGUGUGUGGAACUCUAGGUGUAGGGGUGAAAUCCGUUGAUAUCUAGGGGAACACCAAAAGCGAAGGCAGCACACUGGUACAUUACUGACGCUGAAGCACGAAAGCAUGGGUAGCGAAUGGGAUUAGAUACCCCCGUAGUCC
rnacentral:rRNA from 1 species